AAAGUCGUAACAAGGUCUCCGUUGGUGAACCAGCGGAGGGAUCAUUACCGAGUUUACAACUCCCAAACCCCUGUGAACAUACCUUAAUGUUGCCUCGGCGGAUCAGCCCGCUCCCGGUAAAACGGGACGGCCCGCCAGAGGACCCUAAACUCUGACUUUAUUGUAACUUCUGAGUAAAACAAACAAAUAAAUCAAAACUUUCAACAACGGAUCUCUUGGUUCUG
rnacentral:misc_RNA from 1 species